rnacentral:rRNA from 1 species
UACGGAGGGGGCUAGCGUUGUUCGGAAUUACUGGGCGUAAAGCGCACGUAGGCGGCGCUUUAAGUCAGAGGUGAAAGCCCGGGGCUCAACCCCGGAAUAGCCUUUGAGACUGGAUUGCUAGAAUCUUGGAGAGGCGAGUGGAAUUCCGAGUGUAGAGGUGAAAUUCGUAGAUAUUCGGAAGAACACCAGUGGCGAAGGCGGCUCGCUGGACAAGUAUUGAUGCUGAGGUGCGAAAGCGUGGGGAGCAAACAGG